UCUUAUUUUGGGGGCAACACGGUAGCUAAUAAGUGUUGGAGCUGGGUUAAAAUGCAGACAUUCUGGCCCACUUGGCCCUCCAUUCCGUCUGGCAGCCACCCACUGCCCUCUUGCUGCCCACCAUGGCUCUGUUGAACUCUGGCCAUGUUCUCUCUGGGAUCGCCAACGCCUUCCACCCAGGCCUAGCUGCCACAGCUUCUUCCAGAGCCAGCUCCUGAUGGGCCCAUGUGGAGAUGGGACCCCUAGAUCCAAUCCUGGGAGUCACUGAAGCCUUUAAGAGAGACAUCAAUAGCAAAAAGAUGACUCUGGGAGUUGGUGCCUAUUGGGAUGAUAACGGAAAGCCUUAUGUGCUCCCUAGUGUCUGUAAGGCAGAGGCCCAGAUUGCUGCAAAAAAUCUGGAUAAGGAAUACCUGCCCAUUGAGGGAUUGGCUGAAUUUUGCAAGGCAUCUGCAGAACUAGCCCUGGGUGAGAACAGUGAAGUGUUGAAAAGUGGCCGGUUCAUCACAGUGCAGACCAUUUCUGGAACUGGGACCUUAUGGAUCAGAGCCAGUUUUCUGCAAAGAUUGUUUAAGUUCAGCCGAGAUGUUUUUCUGCCUCAACCAACCUAGGGAAAUCACACACCUACCUAUCUUUAGAGAUGCUGGCAUGCAGCUCCAAGGUUAUCAAUACUAUGACCCCAAGACCUGCGGCUUUGACUUUACGAGCACUAUGGAGGACAUUUCGAAAAUACCAGAGCAAAGUGUUCUUCUCCUGCAUGCCUGUGCCCAUAAUCCCACAGGAGUGGACCCUCGUCUGGAGCAGUGGAAGGAAAUAGCUACAGUGGGGAAGAAAAAGAAUCUCUUUGCAUUCUUUGACAUGGCUUACCAAGGCUUUGCCAGUGGUGAUGGGAUCAAGGAUGCUUGGGCUGUGCGCCACUUCAUUGAACAGGGCAUUAAUGUUUGUCUCUGCCAAUCUUACGCCAAAAACAUGGGCUUAUAUGGUGAGCAUGUGGGAGCUUUCACUGUAAUCUGCAAAGACAGAGAGGAAGCCAAAAGGAUGGAAUCACAGUUGAAGAUCUCGAUCCGUCCCAUGUACUCCAAUCCUCCUCUAAAUGGGGCCCGCAUUGCUUCUACCAUUCUGACCGCCCUGGAUUUGCGAAAACAAUGGUUGCAAGAAGUUGAAGGCAUGGCCUACCGCAUCAUUGACAUGCAAACUCAACUGGUCUCUAAUCUCAAGAAGGAGGGCUCCUCCCAUAACUGGCAACACAUCACUGACCAGAUUGGCAUGUUUUGUUUCACAGGGCUAAAGCCUGAACAGGUGGAGAGGCUGACCAAGGAGUUCUCCAUCUACAUGACAAAGGAUGGCCGGAUCUCUGUGGCUGGGGUCACCUCCAGCAAUGUUGGCUACCUUGCCCAUGCCAUUCACCAGGUCAUUAAGUAAUUUCCCUGGUGUGAAGGAACAGAGACAACCUUUCCGUCUUCAGCCUCUGCUGUUUUGAGCUUCGCAUGGAGCGUGAGGGAGGGUGGAUGGUGGUGUAUAUCAUUUCUUUCAACCAUAGCGCAUAAUACUCAGCAACUGAAUGUGUUUCUCAAAAAAGAACAUGCAGCAACAUAGGGCAGAGGCAUUUGUGGCUGGCAUCUGGAUCUUUGUGGCACUAAACCAAACUCUCCUUCAUCUUUUUAUCUCCAACUUUCCUGAAAGAAUUUACAUGUGCA